GAUGAACGCUGGCGGCGUGCCUAAUACAUGCAAGUCGAGCGAACGGACGAGAAGCUUGCUUUUCUGAUGUUAGCGGCGGACGGGUGAGUAACACGUGGAUAACCUACCUAUAAGACUGGGAUAACUUCGGGAAACCGGAGCUAAUACCGGAUAAUAUUUUGAACCGCAUGGUUCAAAAGUGAAAGACGGUCUUGCUGUCACUUAUAGAUGGAUCCGCGCUGCAUUAGCUAGUUGGUAAGGUAACGGCUUACCAAGGCAACGAGGCAUAGCCGACCUGUGAGGGGGAUCGGCCACACUGGAACUGAGACACGGACCAGACUCCUACGGGAGGCAGCAGUAGGGAAUCUUCCGCAAUGGGCGAAAGCCUGACGGAGCAACGCCGCGUGAGUGAUGAAGGUCUUCGGAUCGUAAAACUCUGUUAUGAGGGAAGAACAUAUGUGUAAGUAACUGUGCACAUCUUGACGGUACCUAAUCAGAAAGCCACGGCUAACUACGUG
rnacentral:rRNA from 1 species